rnacentral:rRNA from 1 species
GAUGAACGCGGGCGGCGUGCCUAACACAUGCAAGUCGAGCGAAGCACUUUGCUUAGAUUCUUCGGAUGAAGAGGAUUGUGACCGAGCGGCGGACGGGUGAGUAACGCGUGGGUAACCUGCCUCAUACAGGGGGAUAACAGUUAGACAUGACUGCUAAUACCGCAUAAGACCACAGCACCGCAUGGUGCGGGGGUAAAAACUCCGGUGGUAUGAGAUGGACCCGCGUCUGAUUAGCUAGUUGGUAAGGUAACGGCUUACCAAGGCGACGAUCAGUAGCCGACCUGAGAGGGUGACCGGCCACAUUGGGACUGAGACACGGCCCAAACUCCUACGGGAGGCAGCAGUGGGGAAUAUUGCACAAUGGGGGAAACCCUGAUGCAGCGACGCCGCGUGAGCGAAGAAGUAUUUCGGUACGUAAAGCUCUAUCAGCAGGGAAGAAAAUGACGGUACCUGACUAAGAAGCACCGGCUAAAUACGUGCCAGCAGCCGCGGUAAUACGUAUGGUGCAAGCGUUAUCCGGAUUUACUGGGUGUAAAGGGAGCGUAGACGGAUGGGCAAGUCUGAUGUGAAAACCCGGGGCUCAACCCCGGGACUGCAUUGGAAACUGUUCAUCUAGAGUGCUGGAGAGGUAAGUGGAAUUCCUAGUGUAGCGGUGAAAUGCGUAGAUAUUAGGAGGAACACCAGUGGCGAAGGCGGCUUACUGGACAGUAACUGACGUUGAGGCUCGAAAGCGUGGGGAGCAAACAGG